rnacentral:rRNA from 1 species
AUUGAACGCUGGCGGCAGGCCUAACACAUGCAAGUCGAGCGGAUGAAGGGAGCUUGCUCCUGGAUUCAGCUGCGGACGGGUGAGUAAUGCCUAGGAAUCUGCCUGGUAGUGGGGGAUAACGUCCGGACACGGGCGCUAAUCCCGCAUACGUCCUUAGGGUGAAAGUGGGGGAUCUUUGGUCCUCAAGCGAUUAGAUGACCCUUGGUCGGAUUAGCUAGUUGGUGGGGUAAAGGCCUACCAAGGCGACGUUCCGUAACUGGUCUGAGAGGAUGAUCUGUCACACUGGAACUGAGACACGGUCCAGACUCCUACGGGAGGCAGCAGUGGGGAAUCUUCGGCAAUGGGCGAAAGCCUGAUCCAGCCAUGCCGCGUGUGUGAAGAAGGUCUUCGGAUUGUAAAGCUCUUUAAUUUGGGAGGAAGGGCAGUAUGUUAAUACCUUGCUGUCUUGACGUUACCAACAGAAUAAGCACCGGCUAACUACGUG